rnacentral:lncRNA from 1 species
CUCCCAUCGGCCCCUCUAAAACCAGGAGACCAGGACUGAAACAGAAGGCCACGACCUCCAUUUCUUACCAAGGCCUGGGCCUUCGAGACAAACUCAGUUCCUUCAACAGCUAUCUUCUGAGUGCCUGACUGAGAGAGGAGCUGCUCUGGGGCCUGAGACUUUUCUUGCAGUCCCUGUCCUCUUAGCCCCUGCAACACGGGAGGGGGAGACAGAUGAGGAAGUAAAUGCUGCUGGGAGACAGAGCAGCAAGGGAGGUCCUGCGAUAUUGGGGGGCAGGGUGAGGGAGUAGCAGAUUCUGGACAUUUUGAAGACAAAAUAAACAAGAUUUGCUGAGGCAUUUGGGUGAGUGCUGGGAGAAAGAGAAGCGUGGACAACAACCCCAGAGUUUCUUCCAGAGCCUGAGGGGAAGAUACAGUUCCCUUUUCUGAGAGGGAACAGGACGCAGGGCAAGAGAGAUUCAUGGGAGAGCUAAGAGGACAAACCCAGUCUCUCCGGACUGGACUGCCUUCUUUCCCCGGGUUGGAGAAGUUAAACACUGCGCUCAAAAGCUAAGGCGCCAGAGAGGAAAUACGGGUUAAAGCCCAGAAAGGGCCGGGCUGAACGUGUCCUCAGACUGGGAGGUGUCAGACUCCGAUCCUCCUCAUUGCCCCCGCAAGUAUAUCCGGAGGAUUCCUCCAAUCGCUCUCUCCUGGAAGACCACUCCCAGCACCCUACUAGAGGAAAGGUGGGGAACUCCAUCUCCAAACUUGGCAUGGUCUCAGCGUUGUCGGAGGACUUUGAGGGAAGGAGGAGGAGAGAAGGACGACGACGACGACGGCCAACGACGACGACAACGCAGGGUGUGUGCUGCGCUGCGGCCCUUGCCUCUGCCCUGCCACUGGCUCCCUGUUGCAGUGCCUGGUCUCCCGCCCUGCCUCUCCCAUCCCUACCCGCAGCCCCAUCCUGCCCAUCUGCGAGGAGCUGUCCCAUAUGUGUGUCCCCUCCACCCGAUCCCAUUCUCCUUCCCUGUUGGUCAGGGCCCAGGUGCUCCUGCUGCCCCAAGGAGCCCGGCGGCAGGAGGCAUGGACGUGGGGGCUGUCGGGCUGGUCUCGAGUGCUCUGGCGCAGCAGGCCUCGGGGUGGGAAGACCUCGCUGCUGCCCCUCGAGAGGGCCCCGCCUUGGUGAGUGCAGCCUGGAGAUGAAGCUGAGGACAGAGGCCACACUGCACCCCCAGCCCAGCCCUGCCCUGCACUGCACCCCUCACACCUUGCCCUCCUUGACAUCCGCCUCUUUGGGGAACCCUCCCUGGCCAGGUUCCCACCAGAAGACCCCCCAAGGCCAGGCCUCAGGCCUCCCCUUCAAGACUGACAGUCUCCCAGGGCCUGUGACAGCCAAGCCCCACUACGCUGUGGCCUCUCAUUGCCCACAACUGCACCAAGAGUUCAGCUCUCUGAGGUGGCCAGGUGCCCCCUGCUAGGGGGCCCUCCCACGGCCCUAGUGCCCGGAACAGUCCCUUUCUCCAAAAUAAAUAUUUUUGUUAGACCAGCAA